rnacentral:rRNA from 1 species
AGAGUUUGAUCAUGGCUCAGAUUGAACGCUGGCGGCAUGCCUUAUACAUGCAAGUCGAACGGCAGCACGGGGGCAACCCUGGUGGCGAGUGGCGAACGGGUGAGUAACGCAUCGGAACGUGCCCAGUAGUGGGGGAUAACUAGUCGAAAGAUUAGCUAAUACCGCAUACGACCUAUGGGUGAAAGCGGGGGACCUUUACCGGCCUCGCGCUAUCGGAGCGGCCGAUGUCUGAUUAGCUAGUUGGCGGGGUAAAAGCCCACCAAGGCGACGAUCAGUAGCUGGUCUGAGAGGACGACCAGCCACACUGGGACUGAGACACGGCCCAGACUCCUACGGGAGGCAGCAGUGGGGAAUUUUGGACAAUGGGCGCAAGCCUGAUCCAGCCAUGCCGCGUGCGGGAAGAAGGCCUUCGGGUUGUAAACCGCUUUUGGCAGGAACGAAACGGCGCGAGCGAAUAUCUCGCGUUAAUGACGGUACCUGCAGAAUAAGCACCGGCUAACUACGUGCCAGCAGCCGCGGUAAUACA